AUGAUGUCGAGUGGCGGACGGGUGAGUAAUGCUUGGGAACUUGCCUUUGCGAGGGGGAUAACAGUUGGAAACGACUGCUAAUACCGCAUAAUGUCUACGGACCAAACGGGGCUUCGGCUCCGGCGCAAAGAGAGGCCCAAGUGAGAUUAGCUAGUUGGUGAGGUAAAGGCUCACCAAGGCAACGAUCUCUAGCUGUUCUGAGAGGAAGAUCAGCCACACUGGGACUGAGACACGGCCCAGACUCCUACGGGAGGCAGCAGUGGGGAAUAUUGCACAAUGGGGGAAACCCUGAUGCAGCCAUGCCGCGUGUGUGAAGAAGGCCUUCGGGUUGUAAAGCACUUUCAGUUGUGAGGAAAAGUUAGUAGUUAAUACCUGCUAGCCGUGACGUUAACAACAGAAGAAGCACCGGCUAACUCCGUGCCAGCAGCCGCGGUAAUACGGAGGGUGCGAGCGUUAAUCGGAAUUACUGGGCGUAAAGCGCACGCAGGCGGUUUGUUAAGCUAGAUGUGAAAGCCCCGGGCUCAACCUGGGACGGUCAUUUAGAACUGGCAGACUAGAGUCUUGGAGAGGGGAGUGGAAUUCCAGGUGUAGCGGUGAAAUGCGUAGAUAUCUGGAGGAACAUCAGUGGCGAAGGCGACUCCCUGGCCAAAGACUGACGCUCAUGUGCGAAAGUGUGGGUAGCGAACAGGAUUAGAUACCCUGGUAGUCCACACCGUAAACGCUGUCUACUAGCUGUUUGUGACUUUAAGUCGUGAGUAGCGAAGCUAACGCGAUAAGUAGACCGCCUGGGGAGUACGGCCGCAAGGUUAAAACUCAAAUGAAUUGACGGGGGCCCGCACAAGCGGUGGAGCAUGUGGUUUAAUUCUAUGCAACGCGAAGAACCUUACCUACACUUGACAUGUUGAGAAGCUACUAGAGAUGGCUUCGUGCCUUCGGGAACUCAAACACAGGUGCUGCAUGGC
rnacentral:rRNA from 1 species